rnacentral:rRNA from 1 species
UGAGGAACAUGACUUUCGGCGGGGGAUAGCCGGCCCAACGGCCGGGUAAUACCGCGUACGACCACUUUGGGACAUCCCUGGGUGGUGAAAGCAGCAAUGCGCCGAUGGAGUGCCUCGCGGCCUAUCAGCUAGUUGGUGAGGUAACGGCUCACCAAGGCGACGACGGGUAGCUGGUCUGAGAGGAUGGCCAGCCACAUUGGGACUAGAAACCACGGCCCAGACCUCCGUACGGGGAGGNAGCG